rnacentral:rRNA from 1 species
GGAUCAAGGAAUCGGUCAUGCCUUGGUAUGUACUGGUUUUAUUGGUUUCUCCUUUCUGACGAACUAUAAUGCCAUUAAUUUGGUGUUUUAGGGAAUCAGGACUGUUACUUUGAAAAAAUUAGAGCGUUUAAAGCAGGCUCACGCUUGAAUACAUUAGCAUGGAAUAACGGAAUAGGACGUUUGAUUCUAUUUUGUUGGUUUCUAGGAUCGACGUA